CUUUCUCUCUGCCCUCACCCAAGCCUCUCAGGUCACAUGCAGCAGGGACACCAAGGUGACGGUAGAAACAUCAGGUCCCAUUUGGACUGUGCCUGUUUGGGGCUAGGGGUUUGGGGUCCUGGAUGUCUGGGUGCAGCCAUGCAGCCUGGACUCCCUUUGUGAGCCCACACAUGCCCCUUCCCCUUGCCACGCCUGGCAGGCUGUCUCCUUCUUUUCUGAUGCUGCCCUCCACCUGCAUCUGGGACCCUCUCCCUUGGGUGCUGUGGCUCUCCCUUCCUUCCUGCAUCCUCAUCUUGACUCUCCUGGGUCACUGCUGUCGGCACACAGACAUGCUGCACAAUUUCUCCUUUUCUAGAAAAGUUCCUUCCUUAACCCCAUAACAACAACUAACCACCCCGUUGUUGCUUCCCUUCAUAGCAGAACUCAGACCUGCCUCUUCUUCCCCUCCCACCAUUCUCUCAAUCCACUUCUCAGGCUGACAAUUCUGUCUCAUCACAAAUUGUUCUUGUCAACUCCACCACCAAUUUCCAUCAAGCCACAUCUGGUCACUUGUGACUUUUUUUCAUGUCCUUAAUGUGCCUGCUCGGUAGGGUCAAAGACAGCAGUGCGCUCCCUCCUUGACGCUUCCUUCACUUGGCCUUCCACCCACCAUCGUGGUUUCCUCAGCCUUCCUGGCUGCUCCUCACUCCACUGCUGCUUCCUCUUCGAGUGCUGGGCCCAGCCUGGAUUGGAUCCCUUCUCUACCUGUGGUGCUGUAAAUGCCAGCCGGAAGGUCCUAAUUCCCAAAUGUGUAUCUUCAGUCUCUUGCCACCUGGGGUUUCCCAAUGCCCCCUCAGUGUCUAUACCUGGAGUUUCCAUGGGUAGUCUCUCUCUGUUACCCAGGCUAGAGUGCAGUGGUGGAAUCUUAGCUCACUGCAGCCUCGAACUCCUGGGCUCAAAUGAUCCUCCUGCCUCAGCCUCCCAAGUAGCUGAGACUACAGGUGCAUGCCACCAUGCCUGGUUAAUUUUUAAAGUUUUUGGUAGAGAUGAGGUCUUGCCAUGUUGUUCAGGCUGAUCUUGAACUCCUGGCCUCAAGCAAUCCCCCUGUCUCGGCCUCCCAAAGUUCUGGGAUGACUGAUGUGAGCCACCAUGCCUGGCCAUCCUCCAUUCUUUUUUUUUUUUGAGAUGGAGUCUCACUCUUUCCCCCCAGGCUGGAGUGCGGUGGCUUGAUCUCGGCUCACUGCAACCUCUGCCUCCCAGGUUCCAGCGAUUCUCUUGCGUCAGCCUCCCGAGUAGCUGGGAUUGCAGGCGCCCGCCCAACUAAUUUUUUGUGUUUUUAGUAGAGACAGGGUUUCACCAUGUUGGCCAGGCUGUUCUCAAACUCCUGACCUCGUGAUUCGCCCGCCUCGGCCUCCCAAAGUGCUGGGAUUACAGGUGUGAGCCACUGCGCCUGGCCUCAUCCUCCAUUCUUUACCAUUCUUGAUCAUUCCUGUCUUUCCCUACAUUUCACAUCUUGUCAGCCUGUCAUUGAGCCCUGCUGUCCGUCCCUCAGUGUGUAUCCCCGUGCUGACCCUCCCUGCUUCCAACGAGCCUAAUCCAGCACUGCCCCUAGCCUGGAUUGCUGAACAGCUGCCUGUGUUGUCUCCUUGCCUUUGCAGUCUUUGCCUCUUUCAGAUUAUUUUCUGCAUAGCAGCAAGACUGGUCUUUUUCUUUUUUUCUAAAAUGUAAGUUGUAUCUUGUCAUUGCUCUUUUAGUGCCUUCAUUGCAGUUGUGCUCCCCGCUCAUGUUGAUUUUCCUUAACACCCUUCACUGCUCUAAGUCAUACACAUACCAGUUGACUUGGUUAUUAUUUGUAUCUCCAGCUAGAGUGAAAACUUGGUGAGGACUGGUAUUAUAUCCCUGACAUUAAAAAUAGUGUCUUGUUAGUAAAAAGUGCUCAGUAUUUUUCUGAAUGAAUAAUUGAUUAUAAGGUAGUGAAGAGGGAGGUUAUAUCUGAGGUCCAGUUGACAUGAGGGAAAGGUCUUAAGACCUUUAAGACAUUUAAGAGGAAAAAUGAGCCCAAAAUGCAUGUGUUUGGAAGGCCCACAGCUGGGCACAGCCAUGCAUGUUCCUCACGUCCACCAUAGGUUUAUGCUGCCUGACCCCUUGGGUCUUUGCUCAUUUCCCUUAGUUUCCCUAGUCCAUUCCCCAUGGGGAGCUGGGACCCUUCUGGAUGACCUCUUCUCUGAGGCGCCCAUCUCGUGCUCCCAGGGAGCACUCCCAUCUCCUCCCUCCCAGGGGAAGUACACAUUGCCUUAUCUCCAUGUGUCUUAGGAUCCUUCUUGUCCUUACACUGGUGUCUUCAAACGACAUGUCCUAAAAGUAAAUGUGGGUAAGUUGAAUGACCUGAGCAUCCAUUCCUCAGCUAUUCAAAAAGUAGGGGUAGUGCCACCUAUCUUGGCAGUGUGUUGAGGGUGCCCAGCACGUACCUUGCCAUCCCUCGUUCUGUAGGCUCUCACUUCCAGUUCCUCAGAUGAGGUACAGGGCAGGGAGGAGCUUCUCCCGUUACUGUCAUCUCAGUCUAACCACAUUCAGGACACUUGUUUAUUUUAAAUAAACAGGUGAAUUAAGAAAAAGUUUUUUAAGUCUUUACCUAAUCAGUCUCCAGGCUCUCUUUUUGGCCUGUUCCUCCCUUCCUCCUGGCCGCCUCCCUCCCAUGCCUCUCAUGUGCCUCCUGCAGGGCUGGGCCCCCACUUCUCUUGGGACCUGUGCUUUGGGGCACUCCCCGUCUUCACCUCCUUCCUUUAGCUCCAUUGAUGACUUUCCCCCUUGCUGCUUCUCCCAUGGCUCACCUCUUGCCCCCUGGUUCGCCACUCUGCCCUCACUUUGUACUCUUUGUAGAAUCUUGAGAUGACUCCUCCUGUGUCCCCAGCCCUGCUCUGCAGCUGCUCCUGCUUUGUGCUGGCUCAUCAGGCUCAGGCAUCCGAAUGGCAGCUCCUUGGCUUGCCCUGUCUCUGGUUUCUACGGAUGGUCACAGGGGUCUUCGGGGUUACCCCGCCCUCUUUCCUUCUUCCCUCAUACCCCUCAGUCCUUCCUUUUCAGACCCUCCUUUCCAUCCCUGUCUUCCUGCCCCCAAGCUGUGGGACCCUAAGCUCCUGCUGUGAACUGUCGACUGUGCUCUUGAAGUCUAGGUGAUGAUGUGUCAUUGCAUUGGUAGAAAGCGGCCUGCUUACUGCUGCUUAGCUGCUUCCCGAAGAGGGAACAGACUGCUCGCUGGUGUUUAGGUCUCCAUGCCCGGCCCAGCUCUCUCCUCCUCUGCCCACCCAACAACCUCUGUGGCCCGGAUGGAUGUUAUCAGGAAGGAGGGUGUCCAGAGCGGGGAAUUGUGUUAUAGGGAAGGUGGAGCAUUUGAGAGAAGGGGCAUCCGAGGCCACCAGACUCGGAGGUAAGCUUGCCAUGGAUUCACAUGGGGGCCAGUCGGGCAGCCCCAUCCAUCAGCUGUCCAUCAGCUCAUAGCUGUGUCUCCGCCACAGGUUCCCAUUAAGGAUGUCGAGGCGGGGAAUGGUGAGGAAGAGUCGGGCAUGGGUGCUGGAGAAGAAGGAGCGGCACAGGCGCCAGGGCAGGGAAGUCAGACCUGACACCCAGUACACCGGCCGCAAGCGCAAGCCCCGCUUCUAAGUCACCACGCGGUUCUGGAAAGGCACUUGCCUCUGCACUUUUCUAUAUUGUUCAGCUGACAAAGUAGUAUUUUAGAAAAGUUCUAAAGUUAUAAAAAUGUUUUCUGCAGUAAAAAAAAAGUUCUCUGGGCCGGGCGUGGUGGCUCACACCUGUAAUCCCAGCACCUUGGGAGGCUGAGGUGGGAGGAUCAUUUGAGGCCAGGAGUUUGAGACCUGCCUGGGCAACAUAAUGAAACUUCCUUUCCAGGGAG
rnacentral:lncRNA from 10 species